AGUUUGAAACUUCGGUCGAUUUCUAAGAUGGAAAGUGGCGAAAGGGAGAGUAACGCGUGGAUAUCUACCCCGGGAUCUGGGAUAGCUGCGGGAAACUGCAGGUAAUACCGGAUAAUGUCUCCGGACCAAAGGUGUGAUUCCGUCUCGGGAUGAGUCCGCGUCCUAUUAGGUUGUUGGUGGGGUAAUGGCCUACCAAGCCGAUGAUGGGUAGCGGGUGUGAGAGCAUGACCCGUCUCACUGGGACUGAGACACUGCCCAGACACCUACGGGUGGCUGCAGUCGAGAAUCUUCCGCAAUGGACGAAAGUCUGACGGAGCGACGCCGCGUGCGGGACGAAGGCCUUCGGGUUGUAAACCGCUGUCAGUUGGGAGGAAAUGCUAUGGGGCACUCUCCAUAGUUUGACCGAUCUUCAGAGGAAGUCCGGGCUAAGUUCGUGCCAGCAGCCGCGGUAAGACGAACCGGACGAACGUUAUUCGGAAUUACUGGGCUUAAAGAGUACGUAGGCGGCUUGGUAGGUUGGGUGUGAAAUCCCACAGCUCAACUGUGGAACUGCGCUCAAAACCACCAGGCUUGAGGGAGACAGGGGUAAGCGGAACUGAUGGUGGAGCGGUGAAAUGCGUUGAUAUCAUCAGGAACACCGGUGGCGAAGGCGGCUUACUGGGUCUUUUCUGACGCUGAGGUACGAAAGCUAGGGUAGCGAACGGGAUUAGAUACCCUGGUA
rnacentral:rRNA from 1 species